ACCACUAUUCUAAAGUCCGAGGACACUGGACAACCCCUACUUCACUCUGCAUGGUAGGGAGUAACAGUACAAACACUCAGGGUGGUUGGAAAGGCGGCCGGCCAGUCUCUCCUCCCUGGAGCCUCGCGUUAUCCCUCAGCGGUAGAGGGAAAGGUUUUGCGGCGUGCUAGUGGUGUGGUGGUGGGUUUUCUUCAGUUAAUAAGUGGUGCCGCUGUUUGAGGAUGUUGAGCCCAGUUUUCAACUGAGUUUCUCCUAGACUAUCCCAAGGGGUGACUUUUCUUUUUUGGUCUAUCUUCCCUGAAGUAAUAAUUGUGUUUUGGAAAUCUAAAUGGUGUCCUAGUCCAAAACUUUGUUAUCUCCACAUAAAAUACAAACAUUACAACACAAGCAGAAGAAGAGGGUCUCACAGACAGUUUUCUAGACUGUUCCACUAAUGAACGAGAACACAUUUCUUUUUUUGAUGAGGCAUAAUUAUAAUUUUUUACCAGUUUCAUAAAUCUUACCAAUAAGCAGUUCAUAUUUCCAAUAAAAAGUGCUUAAAAGUAGUCUCGCUUUCUGAAGGCCACACUAGAUCUCAUGGGGCUCACCGAGGUGGUCCCCAGCAUGUGAGUCCUGUUGUCCACGUGAUGCAGCACAUGGCUGGGCCUCUACCUGACUCCUCGUCUGCGCAGCAGCAGAACUCUGAGGAGGCCUCAUGGCACAGGGCACCGUGGGUUCCGACCCGAUGCCCUCAGUACCUGGGCCUUUAAGCACUCUCGCCCCACCAGUGGCAUCCUCUUCCGACCAGGGCCUUCGGCAUACCCUUGCAUUCUGACUGCCUGCAAACCUAGUGUUACCCACUCCCAGGAGCAAGUGGAGGCACUGUGGCUACAGGGCACUUCAUUCUGAGCAACUGGACGGGAACUCAAAGGUUUCCAAAUUGUGCAUGUCCUUCUGACACAGACUGGUUCUUGGCAUAACAGCUGGUCAUGAAUAACAUUAUUCCUUCAUUUCCACCUAACUUAGUGAGUUUUCUAAAUUCUACUGAGGCUCUGCCUUAAGAUUAAAAUUUAGAUUUUGU
rnacentral:lncRNA from 1 species